rnacentral:rRNA from 1 species
GAUGAACGCUAGCUACAGGCUUAACACAUGCAAGUCGAGGGGCAGCAUUUUAGUUUGCUUGCAAACUGAAGAUGGCGACCGGCGCACGGGUGAGUAACACGUAUCCAACCUGCCGAUAACUCCGGGAUAGCCUUUCGAAAGAAAGAUUAAUACCGGAUAGCAUACGAAUAUCGCAUGAUAUUUUUAUUAAAGAAUUUCGGUUAUCGAUGGGGAUGCGUUCCAUUAGUUUGUUGGCGGGGUAACGGCCCACCAAGACAACGAUGGAUAGGGGUUCUGAGAGGAAGGUCCCCCACAUUGGAACUGAGACACGGUCCAAACUCCUACGGGAGACAGCAGUGAGGAAUAUUGGUCAAUGGGCGAGAGCCUGAACCAGCCAAGUAGCGUGAAGGAUGAAGGCUCUAUGGGUCGUAAACUUCUUUUAGAUGGGAAAAAAGUAUUCCACGUGUGGAAUUUUGUAUGUACCAUAUGAAUAAGGAUCGGCUAACUCCGUGCCAGCAGCCGCGGUAAUACGGAGGAUCCGAGCGUUAUCCGGAUUUAUUGGGUUUAAAGGGAGCGUAGGUGGAUUGUUAAGUCAGUUGUGAAAGUUUGCGGCUCAACCGUAAAAUUGCAGUUGAAACUGGCAGUCUUGAGUACAGUAGAGGUGGGCGGAAUUCGUGGUGUAGCGGUGAGAUGCUUAGAUAUCACGAAGAACUCCGAUUGCGAAGGCAGCUCACUAGACUGUCACUGACACUGAUGCUCGAA